CGGUCGCUCUGUGACGCGAGCGGCCGGAGGCUGAGGGCCGCUGGACGGGGUCCGGGCGGAGCCGGUUGGCUCGGCGAGGCCGCGAGGCAUCGGUCCUGUUGGCGGUUACGUGAACCAAACUGUGGCCAAAGCAGUUUUCGGGACCUAGCAAAGUGCCUUGUACAUCCGCAGUCACUCCAUUAAUGUCUGAAAAAUGAAUAAUUUAUAAAUGAAGAAGCACAGUAGAACAAGGAACUGAUAUUUACAGUGGAUAUGGUAAAUUGAGCCGUCUGAAUGUGAGCGAUGCAAGCUGGAAAACAGUCACAGCGGUGAUCUUGGUGGGAGAGGGUGAGGGGUGGGUGUGGGCCGCGGUGGGAGGCUGUGUUUGCCCUUCUUGAGCGAAGAAGCAUCAGAGUAGAAGACUGUUAGAGUUGCAAGGCGACUUAGAGCCCACGCGACAGUCCAGUUUGUCGUUUUGCAAAUAAGAAAAGUUCCAGGCCUGGAGGAAGGCAAAAAAUAUGCCGAAGGUCACAUCUGAGGUGCCAGAGAGGGAAUUUACCCUUGGGCUCCUGAUUUCAAGCUCAAGUUCCUUAGACAGCACUGACUGUUAGAGUAAGAGAAGCCUGGGAGGAAAGAUAGGGGAAUACAGACAGAUGAACCCUUACCCCAUUCUGAACAUUGUUGCUGAAGUCCAGUUGUGAGAGAAUAUUGGCCUGGAUUAGGUUGACUGCAAAGGAAGGGGCAAGGAAUGAACACAUUUAGGAGGCAUCUUGAAACAUGAUUUAAUAAAGAUUGAUAGGACAAAAGAGGAAGAAGUUGAAGAUAAUUUCUGGCUGUUAGCUAGAGUAAAGGAAUUAUACUAGAGAAAGAAGAGGGGUGCAAGUAAUCUGAGGGGAAGUGGAUGAGUUUGGUUUAUACAUGUUAAGUGUGAAGGGAGAUAGGUUUAAUAGUUUCCAGAAUAGAAGUAAUCACUGAAACCAUGCGGUCAUAAAUGGUAGUGAGGGAGAAAGUAGGGAAAAGAGAAAUAGGAAGUCAGUAAUUGUGCCAACUACUUUUGAUGGACGAGAGAAGCAGAGCUGGUUAAUAUGUCAGACACAAGGGACGCCUGGGUGGCUCAGCGGUUUAGUGCCUGCCUUCGGCCCAGGGCGUGAUCCUGGAGUCUUGGGAUUGAGUCCCGCAUCGGGCUCCCUGCAUGGAGCCUGCUUCUCCCUCUGCUUGUGUCUCUGCUUCUCUCUGUGUGUGUCUCUCUCAUGAAUAAAUAAAUAAAAUCUUAAAAAAAAAAAACAUUUCAGAGACAGAGUCAUCAGAAGUGAAAUUUAUUAUGAGAACA